rnacentral:rRNA from 1 species
AUCUUAAUAGUAACAAAGUAAGGAAACAUUCGAAACCUUUUCGAACUCGAUAAUGAAACUUAUUUUUGUCUAGAAAUACUAUUUGUAUGGAAAUCCUAGAACUGUUAAGAU